rnacentral:misc_RNA from 1 species
GAAAUGCGAUAAGUAAUGUGAAUUGCAGAAUUCCGUGAAUCAUCGAAUCUUUGAACGCACAUUGCGCCCUCUGGCAUUCCGGGGGGCAUGCCUGUUUGAGUAUCAUGAAAUCUUCAAAGUAAAUCUUUUGUUAACUCAAUUGGUUUCUACUUUGGUAUUGGAGGUCUUUGCAGCUUCACACCUGCUCCUCUUUGUUCAUUAGCUGGAUCUCAGUGUUAUGCUUGGUUCCACUCGGCGUGAUAAGUUAUCUAUCGCUGAGGACACUGUAAAAGGUGGCCAAGGUAAAUGCAGAUGAACCGCUUCUAAUAGUCCAUUGACUUGGACAAUACUUUUAUGAUCUGAUCUCAAAUCAGGUAGGACUACCCGCUGAACUUAAGC